GACUCACCAGCGGUCUCGAAAAAAGGCAGCCCAGGUUCCCAGCGUGCGGCCAGGCUCCACGAAGAGCAGAGCAGACCUUCUCGUGAAACUGCAUCAGUUUUUCUAGAAGUUGCCUGAAGAACUGCUCUCUUAGAGCGAAACUGGAACUCUCUUGAGAAGAAAAGUUUCUAUGUAGCGGGCGUCCUCGAAACAUUGAAAGACAAGUGAAAAACCUCUCUGCGACCUGGGACAAAGAUUCCCGGCAAAGAAAACAGGAAACAUGAAUAACUGAGAGGAAAAAGCUGAAGAUAGUGUUUCUUUCGGUGAAGCAGGUUAUGAGAAAUCGCCCGCACACAGGGUUUAAAAGCCACGCACAGGCCCAGGACUAGGCGCAUGCUCAGACAAGACCUGGGGGAGAACUCGGGAGCUUUCAUCCGGCCGGAUCUUCCCGCUCAAGGCGGAAAACUUCGUGCUGCUGACUGGAGCGGUUGCCACCCAGAAUUUAAUGACAAACCAGCAAUUAAUGGAAGAGCCAACUGUUAUGCAAAGUAGCUGAACCUGAAUCUUUUACAAAGCUGUCCAGCCUUCAGACUAUGGUGGACAGAGGAUUUAACAAGCAACUCCGGUGGGAGAUCUGCCUGCAUUGGUUUAAUCUGCUUCGCAUCCCCUCCUGUUGUUGCUGUAUUGAAACUUUGGCAGAUCUUAUGUCCCUGGACUGGUGCUGCUGUUUAUCCUUCUUACGUAUGUUAGUAGGGAGGCAAAAGCUUUCCUGUAAACUACCUUCCCCCCCGACCCCAAUAUGGCAUCCAACUCUUCCUCAUUCUCAAUUGGAAUGUUCCCCUUCUUUAACACAAUCCUUUCAUUUCCCAUUAUUUCUUUACAGUUUUUAUUCGGCUUGAAGAUUCACAUAUUUUCUUCUCACGUGAUGUCUCUUGGGUUGGACAGGGAUGAGGGAUGGAAGUAAGCAUCCUUUGCUCUUUGUUUACUUGUUUUAUCCUUUGUAUAUAAGAACUAUACAUUGA
ensembl:lncRNA